UAAUCCUAUAUAAUAUCCUUGGAUUGCCUUAUCAUAUGCUAUUACCUAUCUUGCCCAGCCCAGCACUGUGAGCUUUGAAUUACCGCAUGCUUUAGAUCCCUGGAUCCGAGAUUUUAGUGCCUACCAGCACCUGACUGUCCGAACACCUGUAUGCUUACAAUUCAGUGUUUUUGAUUAUUUCCCCACGCUUGGCUGGCUUGAUAUAUUCUGUCCGUCCAGCCACUGUGGGGUUAACACGCUACUGUCGCUUGUCUACCCCCAAUGCGACCUAUUUUUUAGAUGCAAUAUCUUAUGCUCCUGAGGAAGCGCUAAGCGCGUAACAUGUAGAGCAAGCUCUUCACCAAACCUUUGGAAUACUACACUGGAUAACAUUGUACCUGUAACUG